rfam:Scleropages formosus scaffold2791, whole genome shotgun sequence.
CACUGCCCUAUGUUCUGUUCACAUUGUGCACUUAGUUAAGCAUACUGUGGCGCACAAUGUGAACAGAACAUGGGGCAGCAG